GACUGCUGUUAAUCUACUUUAAAGUAACUGGGAAUAGGAUUGUUCCUUGAAUUCUUUGUUGUGAAAAUGUCAUUCGUCCUGUCCCAGCUGAAGCAGUAUUAUUCCAAACACAGGUGAAAGGGCACCAAAGAAAGCAAAGUCUUGGCAAUUGGUUUUGAUCUGUCAGACAUUCUGUUUACAUCUGGGCAAUGUUUUUCCUGCAGGGGUAAUUCAGCCACACAAAUACCACUCUUCCAAAAUAGCUGUUUUGGCUGCGGGAGUUCCUGCAUCUCCAGCUCCUGAAGGCGUUUGACACUGGUGCUUCUGGAGCAGUACCAGGAGCCUUAGCUCCGAUAAGGCUGCCUCCUUGGUAGCUGCUGCCUCAUUCCUAGAAGUGGUUGGAGGAAACCUCCAGAGGGCAUUUCCAGCAUCCCACUCAAAGCAGCCCCAUCACCAGCGCUGCAGCAGCACAGCAGCAGUUUCCUUUAGCCAAAUCCCGAAAGCCUCUAAGGGUAAGAAUACAAUGACCUUCCUGGGCAGUACCAUGCUGUAGUACCCACCCAAGAACAUAGCUACCACAGCCCCCAGAGCGUUCCCAGCACCCAUCCUGAGCCUCCCGAGCUGCAGCCUGUGGCCUUGUUGUGGCACUUCAUCUGGAUAGGUACUGUAACCUCUUUUACUGCAGAUGUAUUUUUAUAUACAAUUUAUAUUCUUAAAUGCAGUGUUACUUGUAUUAGUUUUCUGCUUUUGAAAUCACUUUUGGAAAUAUUAACAGUAUAGGUAGUAAGGGAUAAAUUACAUCGUGGUAGGAAACUUUUCUCCUUAUAUCCUGAAAGGAAUUAGGCUUGUUAUGAUGAAAACUACCUUUCAGUGGUAUAUCUUGGUACAUCUCCUCCUGUUAGUGAAGGUAAGCAGCAGGACAGUCACAGCAGAGCCUGUUGUUGUGAGAUAAAGGGUUCAGGGAUAGCUACUCUUCACCACCACGGGGUGUCACCGUAGAUAGCACAAUAAUCUCCCAAACUCCCACUGACAAACAACUCAAAAACAAAACCGAAACAGCCCUGAAUGAAGCGGCUCUUUCACAGCUCUUAGUGGCUUUUUAAACACGAGUCUUAAAAAUCUAAUUCUGUAGCGAGGCCUAACGUUUCCAAUCACGUCAUGUUUGCCUUUUUGCUAGAGACCACUGUGUUCUGUCAUGAAGUUGGUCGUGUAAUUAAGAUGCCUCAAAAGAAAGAUGCACAGUAUUCAUUUUCCAAAGUGUUUUGUUCAAGGUUUGCACACAAGGCUUGGAACUGAGCUCAGUAGGUCACCACUGCUGCACCAAAGCUGGGAGGGCUCGCCGGGACCGGUGACAGUGCUCUGUCUGCUGCGAGGCCAAGAUGUUGCUGUCUGCUGAACAUGGUGAGCUUCACAUGGACUCAGCCAGUGAAGUUCAGUAGCGUGGGGUGUGAGAAGACCAACCUAGAUGAUAUCGUUGGUCCUCCUGGACUCAAAUUAUAUAUAGAAAUUGGCCAUCCCAUUCUGAGUUGUCUCCUUCCCUCUAAAGGAGGAUGACGUUGCGAGCUUUCUCUCACGUGCAUCAAAUGGUGAUGUUAGCUGAGCGCUCUGAGGAUCUGAUGCAAGGGUGGACGUGUGUAUGAAGGGUACUGCCAUAGCAUUUCAUGGUCAUUAAGAACGUACAGGUUCUACUUAUUUAACCAUAACACCUUUAAGGAGAGCAGUGGAAAAAACCAGCAAUCUUCUGUACGAGAACGUAAGUAAAACUAAACAUUGACAGCUACCUUAGAGAAAUUUCUUUCUGUAAGAUCCCUUGUAACAGACACAGGCGUUUCCUCUUUCUCUCCCUUUCAAUUUCCGGUGCUUAAGUGAGAAUGUUUUGCCUUCCCUUUUAUCCCAUUCAGCUGAAAGCAGCUUCCUGCAGUCCGCACCUCUACUGCAUGGCACCAUGCAACAAGGCUGGCUAAAGGGGGAUACCACCUUGCUUUGUCAGCAGUUGGCUUGGGGUCCUGCUGGGGUUUACGGUGUGCAGACCACAACGUGGGCUUCAUCUGCUCGGCACGCCAGCACAGGGGUUUGAACUGCCUUUGACAGCACCUCAUGGAGCCACAUUGGUGUGAUCCAGGGCAGUGGUGAGUGGGCCACCAGGAGGGAGGUGGGCUACCAGCAGGCAGGUGGCACAUAUGGAUGAGCACGUUCUGUGAGUCCCCAGGGAGGAGAGAAACUGCAGCAGUACUCAGGCCGCUCCAAGUCUUUUGAGCUGGACGUUGACCUUAGGAACGUAAUCAGAGAGCUGAUUAUAAAUAGUUGGUGCAGUUGUUGAUGGGAUUAAAAUGUGCUGCGGCAGGCAGCCGGUUGGAGGCAGGGGUUACUCCCGUGUGUGCCCAGGAUGCUGCCUGCUCAUUUGUCUAUGGCUGCACGUUGAGCCUGAAAAAGGGAAGUGGCUGAAAAACGCUAAGAAAAUCUUCCCAGAGAGGGGGAAGGAGGAAGUCGUGUGGCUUACAAAAGAGGGCUGAGGGACAUGGGGGAAGGGACCAGGGAGCAGAGAAUUAAUGAGGAAGGAGGACGGUCACUGCAAGUGUUCAGGAAGCAAAAUCCUCAAAGCAGGGGAAUGCCCUAGAUAACAGUGGUCAAAACCUCCAGGUAAACCACAGAUGGUGAUCUGUGUUCAGCUGGUGGUGCGUGAUGGAGCUGGGAGAAAAGGGAGGGAAAAGGAGCAGGGAAGGAAUUGCGGGAGGUGAGUAAUGGAGGUCAGAAAUAGUAUUUUAUCAACAUGAAGGUUUUGCUAACAAGGGGAAUGACUGGGGAGACCGUCUAGCUUUUAGUGUGACGAGAGAACUGUGUCUGGAGCAGGCAGUGGUCCAUCUGUCAGCGGGGCAGGGGAUGGAGCUUAGUUUGCAUCUGCGGAUGAGGACAUCCUGGAGGUGAGGUGUGCCGAUACCAGAGAAGGAGAAAUUAGAAAGCAGAUAGCCAGAGAAUUCGGGGGAAACUGAUUGUCUAAUCCCAGCACUCCCAUUGUAAUGGUGUGAGCAGUCACAGCUUGGUGCCACCAUGCUGUAACAUGGCAAGAAUCAGGUUGGGAGACAGUCUUUAACCUGGAGGGAACGUUUUACCUCCCCGAGUUCUGAGCAGGAGGAGAAAUCAAACGCUCUUUCCUGACAUGAGGUAUGGUGAUAGAAGUAUUAAAAAUAAUGCUUCUAUGAACAGCGAAACUUCUGUAGUCGAACUUCCUGUGGCUUCGUGCUUCCUGUUUAUGUUCCUUUUGUGCCACGCAUGGUGAGGGGUGAGCCCUGAGCGCAGCCUGCCCGAGGCUCUGCAUGCUCCUGCCCACAGGGCUGGAGAUGGGCAUGGAGCUGCCGAGGGCAGAGAUGGGGCAUUCCCCGGCCUCCUUGCUUUGGGAACGCAGGGUGGUAACAGUCCCAGUGAGCCGUCCACUUUGGGUAUCCAGCACUGAGGUUACACGUACAAAGUGUGGAGAGCCACACGUUCAGUUCAAUCCUCGGCUUUCCUCUGGACUUCAACUGCAUCUUCAUCACUUCACUUGAGAGAUAACGUGGCUGCGGUGGAGCUCACCGUUUAUCUGCUUUCUAAGAUGGAGGACCAUUUGUUUGGCCACCGUGUAAAGCACUGACUGCAGGCCCAUGCUAACACAGCUGCAGGAGCCACCCUUUUCCAACCCACUUUCGGAGCAUUGAGGACAUGCUUUUGGAGCAGCUUGGAGAGGUGGUGAUGUGCUGCUGAAAGUGAAGGAGCUAAACGUGGCAUGGCUUUGAGCAGUCCUGGAUUCCCGAGGGUGACGGGUGCUGCUGGGACACCGGGCUGCACCCACAGAGCACUGCAGGCAGGGAGAGGUCGGGCAGAGCAUCACAGACACCUCAAAUCCCUGAGUGGAGAGAGGGGAAGCCUGCCGGAACCUCACCCCCAGAGCUAAUAGCUUUGUGUAAAUGUUAUUUGCCAGAAUUCCACAAAGUAUUUACAGCUAUUUUAUGCGCACUAAAUGUUCGCUUGCCAAGGAAUGAUGGAUUACCCCUGCUUUGAAGCUGAUUGAGAACUAUUACCGUUACCGCCUUAUCAGGCUGUUACAUAUUAGCCCAAGGUACAAGACUACAAUGCUUUCCAAGAAAGAAAACUCCUGACUCGACAGCCAAAUUCACUGCAAAAGCGAAGUGAUGGUGCAGGAGCAAAAGAAACGCGAGGAAAUUACAUGUAAUUACCGUUUCUCCAGCUCCUUUAUGCGGGGAGCAGGUGACUCAGCGUUCCCAUAGAACUACCUCCAUGGGAGAGGAGGAGCUCCGCCUCCACCUGGCAGCCGCCCGUCUUUGCUGCAGCUGUCUGCCUGCCGGACCUCCCCUUGGGGCUGCCGCUGCCGCUUAGCAGCUCAAUAGCACGCAUACCUGCGGAGUGCUCCUUCCAUGAGAAGGAGGAUUUGCCACCCGGCGUGGAAUGCUUUAAAGCAAGGUGCAAAUAUGUAAAUAAUUACCACGAGCAUCUGAGCUUUAUUUAUUUAUUUGUUUGUUUGAGUCCUCCCCCCCCCCCCGACUGAAUGCAUUAGUAGUGUCUAGCUGGGCUCCUGGGCCCAGCUGUGACCUACAGAGCCAAGGAAGCGAGCUUGCCCUGCUGCCUCCUAGCCCUGGAUCACCUUCUGGUUGUUGCUGACCUUCUUGGAGGUACGGAAAACACAAAGGCAAACGUAACGCUCUGCUGGAGAGCCACUGCGUAGGGCUGUGUUGCAAGAGUGGGGGUCCCUCCAACGGCAGGACACAUUUGUGCUGGGCACCGCGAUGCUGAAUGUGACUGCUGCUGUCUCAGGGGACUUCCCAUCCACACAGGCACAAAGACAAGGAGUGAAAUGAGAGCAGUGAGGAAACCCAAUGCGGGCGGUUGGGGCUGGGGAGGGGGCUGAAUUCCCUGAGCCCAGGCUGGCGCUGAGGCUGUCUGAGCGAUACCCCCGGGUUGUUUUUGAGUUUGGAUGUUUAGCUCUGCCUACUUAAAACUCCCCUGCUUCGCAAAGUGUGUUUCAUCUGUCGGCCUCUCUCGGAUCUAUACGUGGCAAGUCAGCAGAUACACAGCAACCCUGCUGGGGGCUGACACACGAGGACUCAGCACUUCCAGCUGCUUUGCUGCAAUGCCUCCCCACGAGCCCACCCCGGCGGGUCCCCAGCAGGAGGCCAAUCCUGGGAACAGUGGACUGCAAGUCGGUGCCGCCGCUGCCGGUUAUCUGCCCAGCCCUGGCAUCCCGCCUCGAGAGCCCCUCCUGGGCUGCGUUGGCUGAGCAAACCCGAGAGCGGGGCAACGGUCAGAGCGACAGAAAUGACUCGCUGGGGGAGAAGUGCAGCGAGAUGGGCUCCAGGAGAGAUGAGUCACUGCCGAGCUGCACUCCAGAAACAGCUCACAGAGCCAGCUGCUGCUGUUCGGAAGAUGAACUUACUGGGCUCUGCAGGCUGGCAACAGGGGCGCGGUAGAUGAGCUUGGUUUCAGCUAUUUCAGCGCACGCAGAAGGUGGAUCCAUUUGUGCCUGGGAAGAACGGGAAGCCGGGCAUGCAGAAUCUGUCCUGAAGCUCUGGUGGUCAGCCCGGGCAGCUCCAACGCAGGCAGCACUCCUUAUACCGCACUUACUCGUCUGUUAAUCAUUAAACACUGAUUAGAAAAGGCAAAACAGACAAUGCCUCGAAGGUGGUUCUGACUUUGCGGCCUUCCAGUACUUGAAGGGAGCUUACAGGCAGGAGAGGGAGUGACUUUGUACAUGGUCUGAUAGUGAUAGGGCAAGGGAGAAUGGCAUUUAACUACCAGAGGGAAGAUUUAGGUUAGAUGUGAGGAGGAAAUUCUUUACUCAGAGGGCAAUGAGGCACUGACAGUGCUGCCCAGAGCUGUGGGUGUCACAACCCUGGAGGUGCCCAAGGCCAGGUUGGAUGGGCCCUGGGCAGCCUGAGCUGGUGGGGGACACCCAGCCCACAGCAGGAGCUGGGGCAGGGGUGGCUUUGGGUCCCUUCCAGCCCAAGCCAUUCUGUGAUUCUAUGAUUCUAUGUCUUUGAAAUGGCUCUGUAUCUUGCAGUGGCCACUAUUACUUAAGGUAGAAGAGCCUAAAAUUAAACAUUUAUAUUUUG
ensembl:lncRNA